rnacentral:lncRNA from 1 species
AGUAAGAGAAGGGGACACACACAAGGCACUUCCAUGGAAGAUUCUAUCCUAAACAGUGCAAGGGGUUAUAUUACAAAGGAACAGGUGAACAUAGCUUCACCCAUGGGGCUGUAGCAAGACACACCCAUGCACAAGACACCGACCCUGGAACCCAAGAAGGGUGAGGAAAGCUCUGCCACAUUUCUGUGACUGAGCACUUCAGCACUGAGCCCGGGAGUGUGACUCAGUCACAUGUGAGGUUGGUUUCCCACAUUGUAUCUAUUGGGAAAAGGUUUAUUUAAAAGAUAAAUAAGAAUUGGGGGUGUUUUAGAAAUUUCGUUCUAGUUUUCUAUUGCUAUGUAGUAAACUGCUUUAAACUUUCAUAGCAUAAACUUUCAUAGCAUAAAAUAAAAGUUCACUAUUUCUCACAGAUCUAUGGGCCCAACGGUGGCAAGAACUCCUAACAAAUUUAUUAUUUUUGUAUUUUUAGAAAAGAUACAGCCAAGUUCUCCCUAAAUUCCUGACAAUUAAUAUUCAAAGGUACCAUUUCUUAUGAUCUCUUUUCCUGCUGUCUCACUUUAGUUAUUUUGGCAGAUUUCACCACCUGUUAUAUCUUUGAGGAGGGAAAACUUUUGAGAAUGAAAAGAGAUCGUGAGUCCCUGUAUCCCAGUGAGUGAUCCCAGAUGCAGACAGACCUUCAGAGAAAGGACUGACCUCCUGACUUCUACUUCUGAAACUAGCCCCCAUUCCUGUUUCCUGGAGAAAAGUUCCUACCCUCCCUGAACUCCAACCUGUUUCCAGAAAACUGGGAAAGGAAGCUGGCCCUAGAUGUUCUCCAUACUUGAAAUUCAAUGCAUUAAAAAAAAAUCAUUUGGCCCUAAAAAAGGGUGAAAUAUUUCCUAAUCUCAUUUUUGCAAAUUUUUUGAAGGUUAGGAAAAUACAUAUGGACAGUUAUAUACUCUAACAUAGAAAUCCACACAGAACCUAAAUUGGUCUUGGAUUUAUAAAGCAUCUGAAAACUUUACAACUGGUAGGACUGUUUUUUGGUAGAAAAUGUCAGUAUAAUAUUUAUUACAAACUAAGAUGAUUUAUAAUGGUUCCUAAUUCUAAAAGUUUGAUUUCGUGUUAAGGUUGAACUUACAUCUGUAGACCAUUUAAAGAUUCUUUUAAAAUACUAAAUUAUACUGUUUUACAGAGCAGGAAGGUAAAAAUUUGAGUAUCACCUUUUUGUGUUGCAAGUCAUUUUGUGGGAAGAGAAACAAGGAGCUGGAGACAUUCUUUUAGGGACGUUAAGCUCUGGUGUGUGUAAAAGGGGAUUGGACCAAAUAAUGAGGUGCUUAGAAAUUACAGUAACUGGGUAGGUAAAGGAACUUGGAUGCUGGUUUGGAGAAUGUAAGGGGCCAUCCUAAUUACCAUCAAAACUUAAAUAAUGACAUCUGCUAAGAAAGACAUUUUGAAUCACUCUACCUGAUAGAGCUAGGUAGACUUUACUAAGUUUUAUCUACAGUCUUCAAUUCAAUGGAAGGCAUUCCCUAGUAAUUAUAGCCCUUGUUCAGAACUGCUGACCCUGAAAUAGUAAAGUUUCUAUUGCUAGAAAUAUCAAACAGAAGCCAGAUGGCUCCUUGGCAGAUGUAAAGGCCAGGAACAGAAAGGGCACGAAAGAGGAAGUAUAAAUAAUUCAUAAGCUAAUGGAAAAAUACCCAGCAGCAUGGGCAAACCAGCAAGUGUAAAUUCAGACAUCAGUAAGAUUCCUUUUUUUUUUUUUUGCUUAUUAAAAUUGGUCACAGUAAGAAAAAUAAUUCUCAUGAAGAUUUGGUGAGCAAUCAGUCUCUAGUAUUGUUGGUAAGAAUACAAAUUUGCUCAGACUUCCUAAAAAGCGGUUUAAACAAUGUACAUCAAAAGCUUUAAAACUACUUAAGCCAUACAAUGUGGAUAUUUUAACACAUUAAAGAAUUAUGAAAAGUAUCAGCUAUAUUUAUCUUGUUGUAGUUAAACGAAAAACAAGGAGUAUUUUUAUGUUUUAGAAACAUGCGAAAGUAUAAAUGAAAUACUGAUGUCUAGAAUGAGGUUCAAGAUUAUCUAUUGGGGAUUGACUGGGCCUGCAUGUGGUGUGGAUGGAAAGUGAUUGUUUAUAUGGGGAUCAUGGUGGAAGCUGGGGAAUGGGUAGGAACUGCUUAUCCUCUUCAUUUUUUACAUGAAUAAAGGUUUCCAUUCCUCCCCAAGUGGAUGUGGCCUUCAUUCUAUGGCUAAGACCAAUGAUCUCCAUGCUGCAAAAUGGAGCUGAUAGAAAAUACAGAAAAACUCCGAGAUGCCAGUCUCUCAUAUCAGGCAGCAAGUGCAUGGGGCACCCAUGAUCAGGAGGGCACGCGGCAGAACUUUGAGUGACACAGUGUGAUCUGGCUUUUACUCCUUCACUCACAAAUGUGCACUCCAGGGAUGCUGUCUCCAGCUUCUGGCCUGAGGCAAUGAUGUAGGUGAAGGAUGGACCUUGCUGUGCCAUCCUUAUUAGUUUCCAGAGCCCAAGAGUCCACUUCCUGGCUGGCUCAUUUUCAGAAUCUCGACAGUGGAAAUAAGAGGCAGUAGGGAAAGUGUCUUUCUUUUCUAAACUCUACUGCAAUUUCUGGUAGUCAACAUAAUCAUGCUGGCUCAUUUUUUACAAUCCUUCCCAGAAUGCCCCCCACACACACAUUUUGGGUUUGUGUGAUUGUGUAUCAAAAUUAAUUUACACAUUCUGGGUAAAAAUUCUACCUAGAUGAUUGUAGGAGACACAGGUGCCUUUUUAUCCUCCCCCAGCCCUUACCCCAUGCCACAUACCAUAAUGUGACAUACACAGAGGCAACACUGUGAGCCUCCGCCUCUGAGAACCUCUGAACCCUUACUUCUUUAUUUUUAGCAAAAAAAAAUGGUAUCUAAGCCUAAAUUUGAAGCCUCUUCUUUGGGUUAUCCAUCUCCUGGGUUUCUCCCUUGUAUACAUGAGAUUUGCAUGCUAGUAGAGUUCUGGUUUCCUCUUAAUCUGUACUUUGUUACAGGGGUCCCAACAGAGUACCUAGAAGGGUAGAAGGCAAAAAAUUUUCUGUCCUCCUACAAGUUCAAAUGGCAGCUUUUUAAUUCUGUUAUAUUGUGACCAGGCCAGAAAUUCAAAAGUUUUUCUUCUUAAUAAACAAAGAUAUAUACUUUCCACUGACUUGAAUUUUUAAAUUAAACCCCUUAAACUUUGGCUAAAGACCCUAGACAUGCUCACUAUAAAGACCUCAAGGCACUCCAAAAGACCACCCUGAACAGGAAGCCUGUAAUUUGCUUUGAAGAAUUGUGGGGAGGAUUGCAGAUAGGGACAGUUACCCCAGGAAAGAAACAUACAUCAACAAAUGAUCUUCUCAAUAUGGAAAAACUUUCUGCUCAACAGAAUGAUGUCAUUUGCAUCCACUCAUUCAUUUAUCUACCCAUUCAAACAAGAGUUUAUGGAGUCAAGCACUCUUCCAAGCGCUGAGUUAUAGCCAUUAAACUAAACUAACAAAUCAUUACUCUCCUCCUACUACAACAAAACUUUUGCCCUUUUUAAGCAAGUAAAUGUUUGUAGCAGAUUAAAAGAUGUUUCCUUUUGAAAAUGCUCCAUUGCUAUUUCUGUACCUACAGAGAUAAAUAAGAACAUAGGAAGUAAAAGUUCUGGAAGGAUAUGCCAGAAACCUGGUGAUGUUCCCUGCUCCAUGUGGGCUGGUGCUGGUUUCAACAGUUCAUAUAAGUACUCAGUGUUUUCUGAGUGCUGCCUGUGUUUCUGUGUAACCAUGACUUUGUAACAAAGUUACCUGAAAAACAAAAAUACAAGCUCUCAAGAGCUCUGUCCCAAGUGGGCUGGCCUGGAGUUGAGGGGUGAGGAAUAAAGGCAAGCUCCAGUAUUUGCAAGGGGGUGAGGGUUGGCUUGUUUGUUUUGGUUAUUGUUGUUUUGACUAUCUUUAGCUUUAUAUUUAUUGAACAACUGAAGGCAUGGAGGGUUCCUAGAUUAGCUAUGGGAUUACUGAUCUUCUGAACAAAUUCCAGUACGGUGGUGAGGGUGGGGGGUGUUCCAUCUCCAUGGGGGGUUCCAUCUGCCACCCUGGGACCCAUGGAAAGAGUUAAUAUGGACAAAGGGAGAGCAGAUAAGGGGCUGAGCUGAUCUGCCUGGAGAAAUUUCAGGAAUGUCUCCAUCAAAUGCAAAGAGAAGCAUAUGCCAAGAGAAGUGUGGAUGUGGAGAGGAUGUGUUUGAAGUGUUGUCUUUUCUUAGAAGGUGUCUAUCUCACUCAGCAGUGUGCAUGGAGGAAAUGAAUGGAGCACCUCCAUGAUGCCUGGCCAACUGCGGGUUCCUGUGGACAUGCUGGGGCAGCUGCCCUGCUCCCAUGGAGCUCCCGUUCCAGAAAGGAAGGCAAUCCCUGGGCACAGCACAAAUAAGUGAUUAAGAAGGUGUUCCACUUGGAACCAAGCAACACCCUCCAAGGUGUUUGGACAGAAAUAUCACCAAGGAACCCCUUAGAGCAGUCAGGGACACGCCCAUCAAUAUGAGAUGACAGUUAAUUAAAGGAGGAGAUAAAUUUGGCAUUUGCCCAGGAACCACCAGAAACUGAAGUACUGUAUAGAAUUGACUUUGGUUUCUUCAAAAAGAUACAGAUCUUGCCUCCUGUUUCCACUUCCUAGAUCCUGAAAGUGAGCUAACCAGAAAGUGGCUAUUGGUCUGGAGGUUGGAAAAGUUGACUUGGGGGAGAAUAAAUAUUAUUGUAACCUCUGUCUGGCACCAUUAUGAUUCAUUGAAGGAACUCAAAUCAACUACUAAUCAAACCCUGACUACUAUUUUCUGUGUUUCAAGCAAUUGCCAUGGACCAGGAGACAUCUUCCCCAGGAGCCAUGCUUCUCCAUGUCCAUCCAUUAGCAAUCACCAAAAGAAUCCCAGCUCCGUUCUUCUCUUUCAGGUGAAAGGGACCAUUUUGCUUUAUGUUUACCUUUUCCAUGCCCUUCUCAUUCAUAAGUUCCCUUGAUAUCUUUGAAUAUUUGGAAUUUCUUCAAGCAAUUGUUGAGGGUAUUUGAUCACAAUAAUAUCCAGUUUUGAUGUUGUUAGAUAGGAAGUUAGCCGCUCUUUCCAAGUUCCUUAUCAGAAAAAUUGUCACUGGGUUCGAUCAGGAAAUAAUAAUCACAUUCUCCUUGUGUUAUUCCAUCACAAUUUCACAAAAGGAUCAAGUUAAGUAGAACAGAACUUUAGAGGGACGGUGGAGGUAGGGACUUUAGAAAGAUGAGUGAAACGGACUCACAUUGAACAAAGCCAUGGGAUGGCCUUGCAUUAGCCAAGAAUGGUAGUAGCAUUUAUGGGUCCUUGCCAUGUGUCAGGCUAGGAAACAAAUACUUGGCUUGCAUCCUUUCAUUUAAGUCUCACAAAAAUCCUGCAAGACUGGGCAUUCCCAUUUUACGGAGGAAGAAACCAACUCAGAGGAAACAUGGCCCAUGGAUACAUCUAUGGCUAUUAAGAGGGGAACAAGGACUCCAAAGUCUACAGCCACUCCUAAUACUAUGACACACUGAUUUUCCUUUCAUUUGAAUUCAUUAAAAGAAUUAGACCUUUCAUUGAAAAGCCCUACAGCUCAUCUGAUGCCUGCUUUACAAACAGUGUUCCAUGAAGAAAGCCCAUUGUUAUUGGCAUUGGUAAAAUUCGAGCAACAAUAAUAGUGGGAAAAUCUUUAGUUCCAGUAAGGAAUCAAGAAAAGAAUACCUGGAGUAAAUGUUGAAGCAUGGCAAUGGUUUUAAUGAUGAUGAUGAAGAUGUCUCCUGAUAUUUAAAACAUAUAAUACAGAAAGAACAUUCACAAAUAUUUGCAAAUUUUACCAUCCAUUAUUUUGCAAUGUCUGUACCAUGAUAUUUAGAGGUCUGACUACACCUAGAAUUUUUUUUUCUUAAAAAAUGUGAUCAAGAUGGCAGACAAGUAUUAAUGUCUUUGAUAUUAAAAUUAUUUUAAAAUAAUAAAAGCAUGACUCUCAUAAUAGAUGAAAAGAUGUGGACAUUUCAAAAGAGAUAUAUUUAAGUAAUGAUAAUGGCUAAUCUUGAAGAUAAUCAAAGAAAUGCAAAUUAAAAUCUACAAUUCUACCUCCUAUUUUCCCUGUCAAAUUGGCAAUGAUGAAAAAGAUUGAUAGUCCCCCAGUAGAGUAUGGCAAAGUAGGACCGAUAUAUUUCUGAUGAAAAAGAGAUGGAUCUAAUUUUCCUAGAGAGUAAUCUGAAAAUGUUUCGUUAGCCCUAAACAUAGAGAACCUACAUAAGAAAUCACUAGGUAAUAAGAUAUUUUAAAAUAAUAUUUAAUGACAUGAUAAAGUGCCAUAAAAUUAAGUGAAAAAAAUCACAUUAUGAAAUGGUGUUUUGUAAUGAAAAUGCUUUCCCCUACUUCUUGGCUAUAAAUUCCCACUUUCCCUUUCUGUAUUUAGAGUUGAGCCCAAUCUCUCUCCUCCACUGCAAGACCCCAGUGCAUGUAGUGUCUAUCACAAAGAUCCUGAAUAAAAUUGACUUCACUAUACUAUGAUGAGUAUCAUUGAACAGUUUUCUCUCUCACAUUUCAUUUCCUCAUUUCUCAAUUCAUAAUCUGUAGAGACAGGGCUUCUCUCCCUACCUUCCAGGACAAGGUCAACCAUUAUCCCCUAUUGUCCCAAGCAAUGAAAAUUUAUUUUCCUGGAACUCUCUGCUGAAUUUAAAUGUACUCUGUCUGGCAAUUGGACUUGUUCCAUUUAUACAAUGCUCAUCCCUUCGUUCUCUUUGGAUCUCUCUGACCCUAGAGACUUUCUCAUUUUCUGCCCUUUUGUUCAAACAGAAACACAUCUCCACCUUUGUCCAGUGCUUUUCUCUCUGGGCUUUCCUUGCACAAUCUCAAACAAAUUUCCACUUUCAAAUCAUCAUUUCCAGACUGGAUCUGUAAUUUGACUCAGUGUUCCUUCCCAAAGCUGUAUCCAUUUAGCAGUUAAAAAAGCAUAGUUGGAAAGAAUGAAGAAUUUGGAGUAAGAUGUGACUAGGUUGAAACCCAAAUCUGCCCUUUACUCAUUGUGUCAUUAAUAGAAAAUGACUUGAUGUAUUCAACAGCUCAGCUUUCUCACUUGCAAAAUGGGUGUAAUAAUACGAGUUCUUUCAGAUGAAAGAUGUACAGAUUUUAAAAGCUUAGUGUAUUUAAAGCCCUGGUAAAGAGUAAAUGCUCAAUAGAAUUAAUCAACAUAAUUUUUAUUUUCCAAAGAUACUUCAAUCUGAACACAUCCAAAACUGAAGUCAGUUAAUUAUGUUCCUUCCACUCAAGUCACCUGAGCCAGAGACCUGGAAGUCAUUGCCCUCACAGUAGGAAAGACACGUGGAUUCCUGGGCUUCACUUCAGACUUACUAAGUGAGAAUCUCUAGGAAAGGCAUCUGGGAAUUCUGUAGGUUUAGCAAGACCAAGAUGAUUCUUGGCAGAGAAAGUUGGAAAACCUGUUAUUCCCCUCCCUUUCCUUUUCCUGUGGUCACCUUCACAUACGUUUUCAUCUACCCAUUGUUCUUUGAGUCUACACCACUCUCUCCGUCCCUCCAACUGCACUCCUAAUUUAGGCGCUGGUCUAGACUGAAUCUAAGGUUAAUCCUAACACUACUGGAUGCGGGGUGGGGGGUCCCUGCGAUUUUAUUCUUUCUAUUCUCUCUCCACUGUCCACUGAUUUUCAAGGGACCAGUUGUCCCUCCAUUUGGAGUGGCCUGCUCAGUGUUAUCUGCCUGCUUGGAUGGCUGCAGAUACCACCACCUUCCGGGGGCCUUCAAGACAGGUCUGCAGCUUUGUGACCUACCCUUGUCCCCACUGGCUACUGGAUCCAUGUUUCCUCUUCCUCAUUGGAAAUAUGAUUUAUGAUACUCAUAAAUAAAAAAAAGAAAAAAAACAUGAAAUAGGAUCACUAGUGAGGAAAGGAAAAUGUUGAGCUUAUGCAUAUAUACAUCUUAAAUAAGGUCCCAUUCCCUUCAUCGAUCCAUCAAUAUGCUAUCUAUGAGUGGGAGGAUUUCAUGACUUUUAUAUAUUGUGACUUAAGCUGUUCUAUAGUUUAAAAUAAUAAAUGAGGUAGAGGGGCCAAUUGAAAUGUCAUCUGGAUCUUUCCCUUUCAUUUGUCCUCUCCUCUGACCCUCAUCCCCAUUUCCAGCUCAGUCAAGUUUUGUCAUUAUAGCCUCAAGAAUUCUGGACAGAGCCCGAGGUAGUCAGUGGUAGAGCACUUGCCUGUUAUAUUCAGGACCCUGGGAUCAAUUCCCAGCAUGUACACUCACGCGCGUGUGCACACACACAUGCGUGUGCACACACACACACUCUUCACAAAUUUGACAAAAACACCCACAUUUUAUAACUGACAAAACUGAAAGGGACAAGAUUUUUCAGGGUAUUAGUCUUCAUGGGCUGCUGUAACAGAAUCACAGAUUAAGUGGUGUCAGCAGUAGAAACUUAUUUUCUUAUAGUUCUGGGGGCUGGAAGUCCAAGAUCAAGGUGCCAGGGGAAGACUGGUUUCUCCUGAGGCCCCUCUUCCUGGCUCACAGGUACCAUCCUCUGGGUGUGCUCAAUGGCCUUCCCUCUGUGUGCAUGUGGAAAGGGAGCCGUCUCUCUUCUUGAGGACACUAGUCCUAUUGGGGUCAGGCUCUCCCCAAUGACCUCUUAACCUUAAUUUCCUCUAAACAACCCUACCUGCAAAUAAGUCACGUGGGAGUCAGGGCUUCAAGACACAAAUUUGAGAGCAUAAUUGAGCUGAUGGCACUCAUUGCUUCUCAAACCUCACUAUGUAUGGGGCUCACCUGGUGAGCUUAUUUAACCCACAGGACUGGAUUUGGGGGCAGGGGAAAUGUAGACAUAUACACACUUCCUCAUGCAUUUGGAAAGAUAGCAACAAAUAUGCUAAUGGCAGUCACCAUUAAGGAGUGGCCAGAAAAUGACUGUUUAUCAUACACCCUGUUGGAUUUUUAAAUACAUACCAUGUGAACAUAUCACCUUGAAAACAUUAAAUCAUAUAGUUUUCUCCUGAAAUUUUAAUAGAAAUGCUAAUUCCAACCAAUUUCUCAAUUAACUUAUCCAUGUUAUUAUUAUUUAUUUAUUUAUUUUUACUUUUUCCCAAGAGUCGAGUUAGUGUGCAAUUUGGGUAGACAGCAGAUUGCAAAACGGCUGUGCCCAUGUAAAACGUGGGCAGCACCAUGUAAAGCGAGGUGCUCGAAGAGUUCAAAGUCAGGAAUUUGAAAGAUAGACAUGCUGCAAGCUUCCUGUAAGUACUUGGGUGUUUGAGACUUGUUAGCUUGUGAUCCACCCGUCGUGUGGAUGGAUCCCCUGGGACACUCUAAGGGGACAAACUAUGUGAGAGUUGUAUCUCCUUCCUGAUGGGGAAGCACUGCUCCCUAACUCAGCAGCUCCUUGAAAGAAGGGAUUCACUGCAGACUCAAGUCCUGGAGGAAGAAUCUGGUUUUGGUCUCUUGUUUUUUUGUUUUUUUAACAGUUUAUUGAAGCAGAAUUGACAUGAUAAAUUGCAUGUAUUUAAAAGGUAUGUAAAAUUGGAUGCAUUUUGACACAUGUAUCUGCCUUGAAACCUCACUGCACUCAAGAAAAUGGACGUCUGCAUGACCUCCCUGAAGCCUGUGCUCCUUGUGAAUCCCCCCUCUACACCCCACACCCUCCCCAGUCCUCACACUUUCUGACUAGCAGUCCAUCAUUGUAUGGCAAGCACAGUUGUUUAUCCAGUCACCUGCUGGGGCAGGCUUGGUUGUUUCUGAUGACCUACGGAUGGUAUUUCAUCUCCUCACAACCGUCAGAGUCACUAUUUCUUCUCAUUUAAAGUCUUCUUAAUGAAACCAAGACUCCAAAAGGCCAAGCAGCUUGUCCAAGGUACAAAGACAGCAUCUGGAGCAUAGAAGCUUCCAUUAUUAGAGUAUUUGAGCUAAAAGAGACUUUGGGCCUCUGUCUCCCUCUCUUCUUCUCUCCCUCUCUCCCCCUCUUUCCUACUUUCAAUGGCUUGGUGCUGAGAUUUGCAUUGUGAGCCACCAGGACUAGCCAUCUCUCUUUAUUCAGGGUAGAGUCAGCAGGUCCUACUCUGUCUGCUAAAUUAUUUGCCCUUUUAUUAACAUUACUUCCUAAUAUGCUUCUGCCAUAGGGAAAUAUUCUGGGAGGCUCUGUGGAACAAGGCAGGCCUGUGUUCCUGCAGAGCAAUGGUCCCCUGGAGACAAUCCUAUAGGCUCCUGGGAGUUGAGUAUUACAUUUUUAGAAGCUAAAUGCAGUUAUUAUACAAAUUGAAAAUAUAAAAUCUCAAUUAAAUAUAUAUUUAAAAUGAAGUUAAAAAUACUAAAAGCUCCUUGAUUCAUAAUCAUGCUGCUCCAUUUUACUGUCACCUGGGCUUCUGAGGUUUUUACCCCUGUCAUCCCUGCUGCAUGUUUGUUCCCAGUUCUACGUUCAGUGGAGUAACGUGGGUAGCCUGAAAUCAGCCUCGAUGAGAGUGUUUACAUCACAAAACUUAAAAUGCUAUAAAUCAAUGUUCAGUUUAACACUAUUUUGCACCUUGUUCCCCCACUGGAUAUAUCAUAUCUCUCUCGAUGAGAGUGUUUACACCACAAAACUUAAAAUGCUAUAAAUCAAUGUUCAGUUUAUCAUUUUUUAUUGUCUAAACUUAAGAACACGAUGGAGAAAAUGUCAAUAAUGUAGCUUCAAUUUUAAAAUGUGUCACAUCUGCAGCUGCUGUGUUCUGCCGCUAGAAUAAAACUGGAAGAAAAUACUCUUUCAGCUUCUGAAAAACAUUACACAAUUCAGCAGAGUUGCUCCCAUCUUUGAUGAAUGAGUUGGGUUUUGAUGUUUAUCUUUAUUGUUUUACUUUCACCUUACUUGUUCACAUAAACAAAAAUAUCAACCAAUAUUCAUAGUGAAACUACUUCGAGGGCCAGGGUUAAACAUUUACUGAUACUAGGAUAACGAGCCUUUGAAAUUAUAAAAACUCCAGACAACUGUAAGGAUUGUUAAUGUCUACAAGACUAGUUUCUGUCUACGCUUCAUGGGAGGUCAAAAACCCAGGAAAACCAGACAGUGAAAUUAGAGUUUCUGAUAUAAAAUAUCUUCUAUAUUUUAAAUUUGAUGCAAUUAAAAUAGACAAUUCAAUAAAAUGGUUCAAAAGGUAUACUGUGAAAAUCUCCCUCCUACCAGCAUGCCUCGACCCUGGGAGAACUUCUCCUCUGAGAUAGUCUGUACAAAAGCAAGCAUGUGGCCUAUUUUCCCCCAGCCAUAUCAUUUUGAAUAUAAAUUGGGCUCUAAAAUACUUUAACACUGUUUUGCACCUUGUUCCCAACUGGAUAUAUCAUAUCUCCCUCUCUCUCUGUCAGAGUCAUGGCUGCACAAUAGAACUGUGGAUGGAUGUUGCAUCAUUUACUUACCUACUAUUUAACUAUAAUGCAGAGGCUUUGUAAUGGGUUUAAAUAAGAUUUAAUUUUACCCCAUGGCUUUUGGUUAUCACAUAUCAGCUCUAAUACUGUUGUGGUUCAUUGUCUCUCCAUAAUGAAGUGUAGAAAGUAAAUUAAUUCAUGUGAAGAUUACACACACUUACUGAAUACCUACUAAGUGACUUGCAUUGUGAGGACUGUAAUAUUUUAAAUCAAGGAUUAGUCUUAGUACUCUUACUAUCUGGCUCAAAACUAAGGAAAUAAGAGCUUAAGUAUGUCCUUGAUAGUAGCCUAGGAACUGCCACAAAACCUCACCUAAAUUGGCUUUUGACUUGGGAAUAAUUAUUUAAUCUUUAUUAACUUUUGUAUGUUCAUCUCUAAAAUGAGGACCACUCUCCUACCUCAACCAUCUCUGGGCUGAUUUAAGAUCAGAGCGGAUGGUAUUUACACACAUUAAAGAGCUUCACAUAUCUACAUGCACAUCACCUGUCCUGCCUUAGCUAGUCUACAUUGGGUCCAAUCAUGUCAAACUCACCUGUGCUGGGACCCUCCACAUCUAGGUGUCUGCAUGGGCUUUGUGCCUCUGCUUGGGAUGCAUGACCACCAUAGCCCUCUCUCCCAGCCACCAAUCCCCACCCUCCUUCAGCUCCCACUUCCCUGACCUCCCAAGUCUGGAUCAGUUGUCCUUCCACAUUGUCCUCAUUGGAGCAGGACCACUGCCUAUUCAUGGAAGAGGAAACGGUUGAUGUCUCAUUCACAAUUGGAUUCUAAGCUCUUAACAAAUAUCUAGGGAAUGAGUGAAUGAAUAGAUUACCACCAAGGAAAUAAGAAGGGAAAAAAACAAAUUGUAUAUACCAAGGUCAGGAAGACCUUUGCCUCCACUAUGAGAUAGGAAUUGCUACCCCCUUUUUAUAAGCAGGAGUCAAGUGAUGUUGGUACCCAGUGCUGGAAGAUCCAAAUACCUAUCUCCAGAGCACCACUCCAUUUUUCUUAGGAGCAUGCUGCCCCCCAGUGCAAUGGCAAACAUUGAUUGGCAGUUACUAUGACCAGCCAUAGGGCUCUAUCAUUUAUUCAGACCUCUCUACUAGCUCUAGAUAGAUGGUGUCACCAUUGGGCUGGGGAUAUGGCUCAUUGGUUAAACACCCUUGGGUUCAAUCUCCAGUACAAAGACAAAAGGGUGGGGCAGAGAAGCUCAAGUUCAAGAAUUAUAAGAACAUAAAAUGUAGAGGUCCGGUGUUAUGCAGAACCUGGAAAAGGAGUGUCUCAGAAGUUAGAUUUUAAGGUAAACUGGAAUGUUUUUGAAGUGACAUGAUGAGGGUGUGCUUGAUUUUUCUUUUCUUCUUUUUUUUUUAAUGAAUUGUGUUUGAUUCAUCUAACUUUCUGGAAUAUUUAACUUUAACUAAAAUGUCUGAUUUUUUCCUUAUUAGCAAUCCCAACCCAUCUGUCGCAGAUUUUCCACUUCUGAGAGUCAGAAACCAUGAGAAAUGGAAAGUGCUAAGACACCUCUGAACUCUGCUAUUUCAGGGUGGAGCUGGACACACCAUUCCACACAGUGAAAGGAGAAUUUUCCAAGUUUUUGUAGUUGAGAAAACACUGGAAUCUCAUGUGAUUUGUGGAGCAAGACCUUUGGGAUCAAACGGCUUAGGAGGGAAACUGCGAAUUUUUCCAACUUUCCUUAAUUGUUUUCAAACUCAGCUUAAAAACUGCCCCUGAGGAUCCACAAGUUUCCACACUUAAUGUUUUCCCUCCUCUCUAGCCCUGGAGGCUGGCUCUUUGAAAACACCUUUUUGCCAGCAUUUUCAAAGCAGAACUUUCUUUGGACCUCGCCUUUCAUUGGCGUUCUCGCGCCGGUCCUUCUGCCACACCGGACCAGCGCAGGAAGGGCACACCUGGCCAGCACCUGCUCUUUAGUUGGCAAGGCACUCGGGGCAUGUGACUGACACAUACCAAACACUGAGAAUCAGAGUUUCUCAGGCUCUUCUCAUGGCAGAGCCAUGUGCACCAAGGGCAGCCUUUUUCCAGGAUUGUGUGCAUUUUUAAAAAAUUUACUUCUUAAAACGUAGAAGGCCUCAGGGCCAGCAGGGACCAAGCAUUCAUGCCCUGAGACAUAAAUUAAACAAAGGGGUUCCCAGGUGGCUUCGCCACACCAUUUCAGCCCCAACCAGCAAGUGUCUGAGACACAGGCCUAACUAGGGGGACCACAAAAAUUAUCGUACAGGCCAGGCACUUCUAAGAAUAAAAGAUAUUGCUUCUCCCUCUUUUUCCCUCCCACCUCUCCUUCCUAUUUAGUGGUAGUCUUCUUCUCAUGCUCUUCCUCCCUAUCCCAUUUUGAGUCACCCCCCUUAUAUCAGAGAAGAAUUCGGCAUUUGUUUUUUAGGGAGAAGGGGAGUUACAUGGAAGAUGGAAGGAGACCCUCAUCGUUAUACAGAAUACAUGUAUGAUGUUGUGAUGAGAAAAAGAAAAAAAAAAGUGUGUAACAUUAUAUUGGAUAGAGAGAAAUGAUGGGAGGGGAUGGGAGGAGUAGGGGGGAUAGGAAGGGCAGCAGAAUAGAAUAGACAUUAUGAUUGCUGUAUGUAUAUAGGUGACUCUAUGACCAGUGUGAUUCUGCAAUCUGUACAAUUAGAAAAAUGAGAAAUUAUACCCCAAUGAUUCAAAUGUAUGAAUUGCCAAGAUCAUUGUAAUGUCGUGUAACUAAUAAAAAAAAAGAUAUUGCUAAAAAUAAUUAGAACCACAGUAUAUAGUUUUAAAAAAAUGUUUGUUGAAUCAUUAAUUCAUUAUAUUGUAAUUGAACUUACAAGAUAGUUUUAUUCAAAAGCUAUUUUAAAAAGUAAAAUUGUAUCAGGCAUGGUGGUGGGUGGUACACAACCAUAAUCCCAGUGACUUGGGAGGCUGAGGCAGGAGAAUUCCAAGUUUGAGGUUAAUCUCAGCUACUUAGUCUCAAAAGCAAAAAUAAAAAAGGCUGAGGGUGUAACUCAAUGGUAAAGCACCUCUUGGUUCAAUCCCCAGUACCAAAUAAAUAAAUAAGUAAGUUUGUUUCUAAAAGUAAAAGUAGCAUAUUCUUAUACAGUAAGACAAAAUUUUUAAAAAUUAAACAAAAAUAUUGAUUCUUGAACAUAAAAAUACAAAGAAGGAUGGGGCUGGGGCUGUGACUCAGAAGUAGAGCCCUCGCCUAGCAUGUGCGAGGCACUGGGUUCAAUCGUCAGUACCACAUACAAAUGAAUAAAUAAAUAAAAUAAAGGUACUGUUUCCAACUACAACUAAAAAAAUUAAAUAAAUAAAUAAAUAAAGACAAAGAAAGAUAAUAUUUUUGGUACAUAGUAAUAUACUUUAAUAAGUUUCUUAGAUUAACUCUGUCUCCAAUAACAUCAUGGGUACUUUUUCUGAAAAUUAUCUUUUCAGUAGGGUCUUUUUAUUUUUAAUUUUUAAAUAAAAGUAACUGAAACCACCUUCAAAUUUGUAUUGUAAUGAAUUUGAAAUUAUUAGCACUUUUUUAUCUUUACAAUUUAAAUAGAAAAAUAAAAAAUUUUAAGGUCUAGAUAAUCCCUGAUAAGCUCACAGAAAAUUCUAAGAAAAAAAGAGUUUUUUUAAAAAUUAAUGUUUUAAAAUUUAUAUGUGACAGCAGAAAUGCAUUAUAUUUUUUGUUACACAUAUAGAGCACAAUUUUUCAUAACUCUGGUUGUAUACAAAGUAUAUUCACACCAAUUGUAAGAGUUUUAACUCUAAUUUUAUUUAUUUAUUUUGGGGGGUAUUUAAAUGUGUAAAUGUUUUAAUUCAAAUAUUUCCAUAGGUAGUUUCUUUUGACUAUCAAUUUCAUAUCUUUGUUUGACACAUUUUUUUAAAGGAAAGAAACAUCAAAAAUUCCCCAUAACAGGCUGGGGCUGUAGCUCAGUUGGUAGAGUGCUUGCCUUGCAUGCACAAGGUCCUGGGUGUGAUCCCCAGCACCACAAAACAACAACAACAACAACAAAAAAAACCACUCCAUAAUAUGAUUCUUUAGAACUUUAAACAAAUAUAGAUGCUGCAAAAUAUAGGUGUUUUCAAUUUCCUUUUUAUUGUUGUAUAGGAAUUAUUAUACAAUUAAAAAUAAGGAAUGUAUCAAAUAUUUCUUCAUAUAAGUCUAAAUAGCCCAAAGAGCAAUCACAGACUUUAAAUUUAAAUCUUAUAAUCCAUUUGAAUUCUCACUUCUUAUUUUUUUUCAGUUCUUCACUUGCUUUUAUUUGGUGUGAUUUCAAUAUCUUCUUGGUUACAAGCUUUCGUCUUCAAUAAUCGCAAUUUGUUAAAGUUUAAGUACUAAAGUGUUGGGAUACUCCAUUCAUUGAAUAAUUUGAUUAAGGAUUUACAUCUGAUUUUGAAGAAAACACACCACAAUUUCAAGAACACGUUUGCAAAAAGCAUUCAGUGCCAUUGUAGUACAUUUGGGCUGAGUUUCAAAUUUGUUCUUCAAAGACUUGAAUGCUUCUUAAACUAGUUAAUGAUAGUCAGUGAAGAAUGAAUUCACAUUCUGCCAUAUCUAAGUAUUUUCUCACUUCAGUAUCAGUGUCACCAUGAAGACUGUGUAGUUCAGUAAUCUUAUCUCAUAUAUGUACAUUUCUUUUGGUGUACAUUUUCUUGUUGGUGGUGUUGUGUGUUUUUGUUGUUGUUUGUUUUUGUUUCUUUUCUUUUUUUUGGGGGGGGGGUAUUGAGGAUUGAACCCAAAGGUGCUUAUCACUGAGCCUCAUCCCCACCCUUUUGACUUUAUUUUGAGAUGGGUUGUUGCUAAGUUGCUUAGGGUCCCUCUGAGUUGCUGAGGCUGACCUCAAACUUGCUAUUCUCUUGCUUCAGUCUGCCAGGGAGUGGUUAACAAGCUUGUGACCACACUAGGCCUAUCUGCAUGUAUGUAAAAAAACUUGUGGACUUGGACAACACAGCUUCUAUUUCAAUUGGUAGAACACAAUUGUGCAUUGUUUGUAUGGCAGUGGGUUCCAAGUAAAUUUCUAAUCCAAGGGUUUACUUUAGUAAGAGGAUUGUGUUUUCCACAAUGCUGCACACCACAAAAAUUGGUAAUCAUAUAAUAACUGCAAAAGCAUAUGAUUUAUUCCUCAAUGUUGAACCUGUAACUGAAUUCCCAAGGACAUUCAUAAUAAUUUCAGAUGUUUCACUUACAACAAAAUAAAACCCUAAAAGUUUUACUUUGGACAAAAAUCUUUAACUAUUAUUAUAAUAAAUUGAAUUUUUAUUUCAGUUGCUAUAUGACACUGAUUUGAACUUGGCAUUAGCAUUAAGACAGCACAAUGAGUUCAUCAACAGGACUGCUUGUCUACUUUCUGUACACAUUUUAUGUACACCUAACUUGUACUUUCCAGUCCUUCCCACUUACUCGGUGACUUUGUGAAUCUACAGACAGUGGCACAAACUGAUAUCCCAAGGGUCUUACAGCUUCAGUGUCAUGCGACCUUUCUUCAAUCUCCACGUGAGACAGGAAGGAGCUGUCUGUCCGUGCCAGCCCAUGACUGUUGAGGGCCACAGCCGAGUCGGAGUGGCUCGUGAUUUGUGCCCAGCCAGACUGCGGCACAUGACUAAGCAACCUCAUUUUAACAAUGGUGGCUCUGAGCCGUGCUCCUGAAGAGGAAGCAUUAGCGACAUCACUCUGAAUAAGCUGAGAAGAGAGAAAUGGGUUAUUGCUGAUCUCUCUCUGGCUUUACUGUAUGCUAAAGUGAAGACAGCACUGCCACAAGCCACCCAUUAGCCCCCGAGGUCAGAAGAGAAACUGGGAGUACAAAGUGGCUUUCUACCCUUUUCAGUUUGUUUUAAUGCAAUUGCUAAUAAACACACUCCAUUUAAAAAGGAAAUAUCUGGGACAAACACUGUACACCAAAAGGAUGCUGGGAAUGGAGGUGUAACCUGGGGCUCUUCAGAGCACACCAGUAUAUACAGCACCCUGGCCCCAUCCACUUUUCCUGGAUUUUCCUUGGAUUUAGCUAACUGAUGUUGUAAGUUUCCCAAAUAUCUUUAAAAGGAUACUCUUCUGUCUUUAUUAUUAAAAUAAAACAAUUCGAGUUUUAUUGACUUUGAGUUUAUUUAACUUCUAAUGUAGGAUUUUUAGGAAAGCAUUAUUACAGAAGUUAUGCUUGGCCUUACAUUAAUUAAAAAAAAAAAAAAAGGAAAAGAAAAAUCCAGGCUUCUUUUCGGCUUGCAGGCCUUGUUCAAGGGGCCUCCAACUAGAUCAGGACAUCUCCCUUGCUUUCUCUCAAUUGCAGCCCAUGUUUAUUUCCUUUAUAGCACUUAAUGCUAUUUGUUGCAAUUAUUUGAUUUAUUUGUUGGCUCAUUUAUCUGAUUGCAGGUUCCUCCCAAGAGAAUGUAAGACCCAUGAAAGAAGUGCUUUAUCUGCCCUUUCUACCUUCAUAUCCCCAGAACUGAAGAAAGUAUCUGUCACUAAGCACCCAAUAAAUAUCUAGUGAAUGAAUGACAAGCAUCAAUUAAUAUUAUUUAAGGUGCAAGAUACACAUUGAAGAACUUAUGAACAGGUGGGCCAAGUUUGAUAUCUAUGGAUUGUAAUAUCAUACUUUCUAAAAAUAAGUAUUAUUCUGAUAAUGAUUUCCAUUAUACUUUUAGCAAGCUAGCACCUCUCUGCUACUACAGAGGCACUACCCAGAUCCUCCAAGUCUAAACAUUGGAACAGGGGCCCCUGUCCUGAGUGGCUCUGUGGAUAGAGUACCUUUCAAGGCCUGGAGGGUGGAGGCACAAAGGGACUUGGGGGCAUUUUAAAAGUUCCCUUCAGCUCUAUACCUUUGUAAACCGACCUCAAAUGGAACUGUAGCUUUUGAACAGAUGGUGGAAAUGGCAUUGUUAAAUAUAAGAGUUUGUUGUUUUCAUAAGCUAUCAAACCGCUGAUAACUUUAUCUACAUUAUUUGAUGAACAGGCUCCAUUUUCUCUCAGCAUUUCUGUUCUGUAAACGUCCUGGUUUCUGGAUAAAUUUUCUCAAGCCUUGUAAUACCUUCUGUAAAAUAAAAUGAAAAUCUCCUUGUAUCUUAACAUUUAAAAAGAUAAUACCAAAUCUCAAGGAAAGGAUUUCAAAAAGUUUUACUAGCUAGAAAUGAUCAAUGUUUGAGGAGAUUAGUAAAUAGGCUUAACCUGAUUAAACGUUAUGUAACACACAAAUGUAUAGCAACAUCACGUGGCAUUCCAUUAAUAUGUCCAGUUUUCAUGUUUUAAUGUAUCAGUUAAAAUUAAAUUAAAAUAUAGUUGGGUGCAGUGGUGCAUACCUAUAACCCAGUGGCUCAGGAGGCUGAGGCAGGAGGAUCAUGAGUUCAAAGCCAGCCUCAGCAAUUGAGCCAGGGUCCUAAGCAACUCUGUGAGACCCUGUCUCUAAAUUAAAUAUCAAAGAGGGUUGGGGAUGUGGUUCAGUGGCUAAAUGUCUCUGAGUUCAAUCCCCAGUAUAUAAAAAUAUAUAUAUAAAUAAAAAAUUAAAAUACAAUCCCUUAUCAGGGAGGGGGAGAGAUGGGAAUAAUACUGGGAAUUAAAUGGAAAAAAAAAACUAUGUUAUAUACAUUUACGAGCAUGUCAAAAUGAACCCCACUAUUGUAUAUAACUCAAAUGUACUAAAAAGUAUAUAAAAAGAUAAUUCCUUUAAUUUAGUCUUAUGCAGAAUCUUUUAGUUCCAAUCAGUGCUAUAAUCUUGAGCAAAAUAAUUUGAAGAAUCCUUUGAAUGCAUGAUAUUUUUUUCAGCUACCCAUUGGUAACAAAGGCUUCUUUAUAAAGUACUCCAGGUAUGAUUUUGGCUAAGGGAAGAUGUUCGGUUGGAGAAAGUAGGAAGAGCAGCGAUAAUGUCACAUGGAUAAGGUGCAGCUGUUAGGAAGGAGGCCUUACCUCAAGUCACUCACAGAUCAGUUUCAUUACCACGGUCCUCACGUUUUCAACUCUUAACACGAAUCCUGUGUGCCUCAGUAGCUCAUGCUGAAGGAUUCAUUGAGUAAGUUAUAUACAUAUUCCAUGCUCUGGCAUAUGAUGCAGUAUUAAAUAUCAUACUGCAGAUGAAUAUUUAAUGACAUGAAAAAUCGUGACAUAUUAAGGUGAAAAAACAGAAGUGAAAGUAUACAUACAACAUAAUUCCAUUUCAAAUUUUAAAUGAAGUAUAUUCAUGCAAAGUAAAAAAGACAGGCAAGUUAUACCUUGCAUUAUGAUCUGGGAUAUAUUUGACUACUAUUAUUAGGCUGCCAGGUAAUGCCAAGAUAGCAAAAUGAAUGAUUUCCUCUGAGCAGGGGAUAGAAUAAUCUUUCUUUUUCUCUGCCUUCCGGCUUUUCUCCCUUCUUUCUUUUCUUUCUCUUUAUACCUCUGCUUUCUAAAUCAAACCUAAACACUGAUUUCCUUUCAUGAUUAAAGAACAUUUUAUUUUAUUAUCGGGGUAAGAUUCACUUAACAUAAAAUAAACCAUUUUAACGAGAACAAUUAUGUUCUUUUUAAUGAAUUCCCAGUGUUGUACACCACAUCUGUAUCUAGGUCUAAAACAUGUUUAUCAUCCCAUAUCCAUUCAUCACCAGUCUCUGUUUUCUCCUUCCCCAGCCCCUGGCAACUAUUAAUCUGCUUUCUAUCUCUAUGGAUUUACCUAAUCUGGUUAUUUUCUAUAAACAGAAAUUGACAACAUGUGGCCUUUGUGCCUAAAUUUUCCAAGUUCAUACACAAGAUGUGUUAGCACCCCAUUCCUACAUAACACUGCCUUGCAUAUACCACAAUCCAUCCACUAAUGGGCAUUUGAGGUCUUUCCCAUGUAAAACUUUUAAAAGUCAUUUUGCAGCACUGAGUUUGUUAGAUAAUGAACCUCAAGAUCAAUGAAGAAAGGAGAGUAAGUUAGAAAAAAGACCAAAAUUGGCAAAUUUUUAAAACUUUAUAUUUCUUUAUAUUUCAAAAUAUACACAAACAUGGAAAUAGUAGGGCAGUAUAAAAAAGCCCUCCUAUUCAUGUUUUCCUCUUCUCCAAUUUCUUAUCCAGAAGCUGUUGCCAUAUAUUUAAAUGUAUACUUUGCCUGAACAAAUAUACAUGCAUAUUUGUGGGGGGGUGUGUGUGUGUGUGUGUGCACGUGUGUGUAACUUUUUUCUUUCUUUACAGAAUUAUUGAGACCUAUUAAGCUGCAGUAGCCACAGGGGCAGGUGGCUGGCUAAUGCUGCUGUCUUAAUGCCCCCUGCUCAGAGUGCCCUCUCCUUAGAACCCCUCCCCCUUCCACAUAAGCUACUUGCACUCAAAUCCUUGUUUAAGGUCCCUUCUGAGAACCUACACAAGAUACAAACUUUACCUUAUUUUCAUAAUGCUCUGAAAGGUGGGUGUUACAGACAAUUUAUAGGUGAGGAAACUGAGACUCAAUCAAGUAACUGAGUCCAGGCAGAGAACAGCUAAGAUUUACUCAGGUAAACGCGUGCUAUACUUUGCUUUUUCUUCUUUCCUUCUUUCUUUCAUCUCUCUUCCUUUUUUUCCAGAUUCCUUGCUCAGGGGAGUAACCAGGUUCUAACCUGGCAGUGCAAUCUCUGGGGCAGACUGCUGGUGAGCAAACCCUCAUAGGGGUGGUAAGGAACAAGCCCAGGAGGGGAAGGUGCUCUCCUUCUCAGGAGUACUGGAUUCCUGCUUGCUCACUCCUUCCUGUUUUGUCUUUUCAUAAUAACCUUCACAACUGUGAUAGCAAGGCAAUUCCUCCCCUUUAUUUUAUUUUUUGCAGUGCUGAGGAUCAAACGCAGGGCCUUGGGCAUGCUAGGCAAGCACUCUACCACCCAGCCACAUCCCCAGUCCUUCAUAGUACUUCCUUAAAGACAUCAAAUUUUGUGAGAAUGAAUUUUGUUUUUAAAGUGUGCAAAUUUUGGAAACGCCACUCAAGGUGUUAUUACCAGACCCCCCUCCUUCUAUAUGCAUGUCUUAUCUGUCUCCAAAUAACAUGCUCGCAACCCUUCCUGCUAAAUCAAGUGGCUUGUCAUUUUGCAGUUCUGAAUGGAGUGAGGUAUGACCACCCUGAAAAGCACACGCCUGCUGAUGGAUGGGGAUCCAAGAACACAGCACAGAGAAGCUAGCUUGGCUCCAGUGCCCUGUUCCUUCCUUCCCUCCUCCCUACACACCCAAGGAACACCUGCUCUGGAAGUCUUCCCUGGCAGUGAGUGAGCAGGUGAGUUUAUGCGGCAGGCUGUAGUGGUACUUCUACCAGGGCCUCCUGCACCUUUUCUGCCCAUCUCUGCCUCACACCCCCAGGAGGCUUAGUUGAGCAACUCCUUAGACAUUGGGCAAUAGAUACCAUAAAUAAAAUUUAAUUAUUUCUUUUCACAAUAGUAAUUUUCAUGACUUUUAUAAUCUGAUCUUUUUUUCUAAGAGCCCUCAGAACAUUAGAUGCAUGCAAAUAUGAAGAUGCUGACUCCCUCCAGAGCUCUUUCCCAUGAAGAACACAGGAGGCAAUAUCCUCAGGACAAGAGCCCAAGACACUGGGAUAUGAAUCAACUUCCUCUUGAGUGAGUUCAAGAGUUUGGAACAAUAAACUCAUAUCAUUAAAAUUAAAUAGAUUUAAAUAGCUCAAGCAUAUAUAGUAUUUCCAAUUGGGCCUUUGUCAUCCAAUAUUCCUCCAUAUCUAAAAAGUAUUACACAUAUAUGUUAAUAAUUACAUACAGAAACAUGCAAUGUGCAUACACACACAAAUCCUCUUGACUUGUAAUGGGAUUAUGUCCUAAUAAUCCCACAAUAAGUUGAAAAUAGUAUAAAAUGAAAACACAUUUAAUACCUAUAGCCUACUGAACAUCUUAGUUUAUCAACAUACCACACAGUGGAGUAUUGGUCCUUUACCCUCACAAUACAGUGGCUAACUUGGAAUUGUGACUCAAUACCACCACCAGCAUCAGGAGAGAGUAGCCUACCACAAUUGCUAGCUGGAAAAAAGAUCAAAGGUAUAGUUUGCGGUAUAGUUUCUACUGAAUAUAUAUUGCUUUCCUAUCAUUGUAAAGGCAAAAAUUGCAAGUUGAAGCAUUGUUAAGUCUCAAGUCAGGGACCAUCUGUGUGUGUGUGUGUGUGUGUGUGUGUGUGUAGUUGUCUCUUAGUACACACAGGUAUUGGUUUCUCAAAUACAAAAAAUUCAUAGAUGCUCAAGUCCCUUAUAUACAAUGAUGCAGUAUUUGCAUACAAUGCACACACAUCUUCUAAGUAUAUUUUAAAUCAUCUCUAGAUACUUAUACCACACAAUACAAUGUAAACAAUAUGUAAAUAGUUAUUAUGUUGUAUUGUUUAGGGAAUAAUGACAAGGAAAAAAGUGUACACCUUUAGUACAGGAC